rnacentral:lncRNA from 1 species
CCUCCAGGUCCAUCCAUGUUGCUGCAAAUGGUAGAAUUUCAUUCUUUUUAUGGUUGAGUAGUAUUCUGUUUUACAUAUGCCACAUUUUCAUUGCUAGUCUGUCUGUUGUCGGGCGUUUGGGUUUCUUCCAUAUCCUGUUAUAAAGAGUGCUGCUAUGAAUAUUGGAGUGCAAGUAUCUUUUGAAAUUACUGUUUUUGUUUUUUCCAAACAUAUACCCAGGAGUGGACUUGCGGGAUCAUGUAGCAGUUCUAUGCAUUUUGAAAUUUUGAAUCCUAGUACUCUCUGUUGCAAUUUGUGUGACUUCAGUAGGUUAAUCAUCUUCUCUAAGAUUUUACUUUCUCACCUGUCGAAGCGGAGGAUAGAGGUAAUAAUACCUAUAUCUAGAAUGCUGUGAAGACUAAGUAAAACUGUCUAGCACAUGAACCUGUAAGGAAGGAUAGAAGAGAAAUUACGCCUUCUCAGGGCAGACGAGGCUACAGUGAAAUGGUUGAUAAAAUAGGAACAUCCUGUCUCUGGAUGGUGGAUCCAUCCCUCCCACCACCCCCUGCGUGUCCAAGAACACUCUCAGCUGUUGGAAAGGUUGAACCUGUCCUGGGGCAUCAUAGCAUGGCCCUGAAAUGGCCUCCUGCAGAGUCUGAGAGUUUUCUAAUUCAUCACUCAGCUUUCUGGAUUUGUUUACCGGUUUUCCUUUUAUCACUCAGUUGCUCCACGUUUUGCUCUGCCAGUUUAUUUCUAGUGAAUCACCCCCCAACUGAGGUCACCUGGCAGACUCAUGGUUUAAGAAGAUAACUGAUCGACUGUGGGUGUUGGGACUAUAAUUACACGAAGCUUAAAGUGCCUUUGUUAUUUUUAGAUUGUGAAAAGGACCCCUAAAGAAUACUUCCUUACAAUGAAGCAAAUUCCGUGUUAUAAUUAAUUGUGUUCAUUAAUGUGUUCCCAGUAGAGGUGACGACAAAUAUCAGAGACAUUAAACCCUGUUGUUUUAACUUGCCCGGCAGACCUGGCCUAUUUUGUCAACUUAUUCAUCACAUAAGUCCUUCUCUUACAGUCUUCAAGUUAAGACCCCAACUUGACAAGCCAUUGUUUGCCAGACACUCUGCUUUUUAUCUUGUGUGACAUCUAGUUCAUGUGCCUGUAUAGCUGAACACUAACUAUGCCAGGUAUUGGGUAUAAACUUGACAUGUUGACCCUUGCAACAUUCCUAGAAGUUAGUUACUUGUUAUUAUCCAUCCCCACUUAGCAAAUGAAGAAUCUGUACGUAGCCCAAGUGGACACAACUUGUUAAGCAGCACAGUUUGGAUUUGAAACUAGGUUUGACACCGCAGUCCAAGGUUAUAAACUUCUGCAAAGAACACUCUCAGCUUCCUAACCUUUUUUGAGACUAUCUCUUUGGUAGUAUCAUGAAACUUUUGGACCCUUCUCAGAAUAGUGUUUUUAAAUUUAAAACAGAGGGAGAUGAAAAAGGAAACCAGUCAUAUUGAAAUAUAGUUAUCAAAAUGUUUUUUAAAACAAUUAUACAGUAAUCUUACAACUUACAUUAAAUAGCAAUAUCUAGUGGCAGGUCUAAAAAGUAUUUAAAUUUUUAAAUGAUUGUGGGUAUAAACAGUGUUUUGAGAUAUCUGUGACAACUGUAGUGUGAUAUGAAAAUUCUGUGAUUGCUGUUAGUGAUAUGUAUUCAAAAAAAAACUACCACACUCAUAACUGAGGAAAUAUUAAAUUUUUCCUUAGAGGUUGGUAGAAAUAAAGAUUUUUUCACGCCCUAGUUUGUGGGCCCCCUGAAAUCUCCCCAUAGACCCCAUGGUAGUCUGUGGAUUCCAAGCUAGGGACUCUCAGAAAUAGAACGAGGUUUAAAAAUAAUUUAAUAGCCUUGUCUCCACAUUACCUUCCAUUUGUUCUGUGCACAUUUAUUGAGCACCUAGUAGAUGCUAGAUAUUGGGAUGAGUACUUGAUAGACAAGAUUUGAAUAAGACUAUGUGCUUAUUACCCUCAUUGCCCACUAACAUUAUCGAAUGUAUAAACCGAUAAUAUGCAUUAUGAUGUCAUACCAAAGUAUAAGCAAAUUACUGUGGAUAUGCUUGUUUUUGCUUUCCGAGUAUAACCUCUAGUCUGUACCCCUCCCUCUGAGUAAUCAGUCUGAAAUAGACUUCUACAAUUAUAUCACUCUUCUCUCUUCUUUCAUUUUCUCCUAAAUUUAAAGAUUUUUAAAUUAGUUGCUCCAUUACUCAGGGUCUAAUUAGGUAAAAACAGAGGAUAUUUAGUGCAGGGAAUUGGUCACCAGGUGGUGGAAGAGCUGAGAAGACAGUAGGGAAUGGUGAAGCCACUGAGAGACUAGAGAUGGAAACCCUUAACCCUGAGUUGGCUGGAGGAACGAAGGGGAGGUCACUGCCAGAGCCCUUAGGCUGGGACAGCCCACGGGAAACAGGACAGCAUUCAGUGGGAGCUGGAGCCGCAGUAAACAGACAGCCAUGGCAGAGAGAGGGGAGAAGAAAUGCCUUGGCUUUUUCCUUCUUCCCGUCUUCCAGUCUCCCUCUAGUACCUCCUGCCUGGACAAAUCCAUCCGGCUGGAGGACAGCUGGUAUGACAGCCUGAGAAGUGCCACGUGAGAGUCAGCCUCUUGCUGUAUAGACCAAGCUGGGGCCAGCAAGGGGUGAUCCAAAGGCAGCCGUGCCCGAGACCAGCAGAGUUGCAUUCCUCCUCGGCCAGCAAAUCUACUUCCUGUCCCCUCUCCUGGAUAGAAGGCUCCUAUUGAACUGUCUCAGGUCUACAUUCAAUUGCCCCCAGAACUAUAAGCAAACACCAGACAGUGUCUCUCUUUCUUGGGUCUAUGAGAGGAUAUCUCAAACCUGCCAGUGCCUGUGAAUCUUCAUUUUGUUCCAGAACCUUAGGUACUGUUUCCUUUUUCAAGUAUCUAAAAUACGCACUAUGAGGUAAGAUUCUCUUAUGUUCUAUACUCCAAAGCAUGCAUUCCCAACAGGGGUGAUAUCACCCCCAAAAGGACAAGAAUUAAUUUGUGGGGAAGGGCAGAGGAAUGGGUUAAAAAAACCUUAGAUUUUACAAUGCUUUGUGGUCCUCCAAAGCUCAAUCCUAUCUGACAACGUCUUAUUCCUUAGUAUUUAAUUUCUCUUGCUAAGGAGAUAUUCAAUUUAAUAUUAAACUUUAAAUAAUUAAUUUAAUUUCCUCCCUUGGGGCAACAAUGAAAAAAUAAAAAAAAAAAGGAAGAGAAACACUGCCCCACAGGAUGAAGAGUAAUUUCUUAACUUUCCUCUCCUUGACAUAUUCCUAUACCAGUAGAUUUUUUUCCCACUUCUCUUCUGGAGCCUUUUUCAUGGGUUAUUCCUUUCAUCUUGCUUAGAAAUUCUAGAACCAUGAGUCCUAUUGUAAACAGUAAAAGUCAACUUUAGUGGAUUUUACCAAAAAAAAAAUUAUUUUUAUUAAUAGGUUAUUGGAUCUUCAGGUUUCCAAAUUACAACAAAAUAAGUUAACAGAAACUAGAAAAAAUAAUUUUAUAAAGAAAAAAAGCAGGAGUUUCCACUGUGGUACAGUGGGUUAAUCUCAGCUGCAGCUUGGAUUCAGUCCCUGACCCGGGAACCUCUGUAUGCCAUGGGCGUGGCCAUUAAAAAAAAAAAGAAGAAAAAGAAAAGAAAAGAAAGACAAAAACCAGAUAAAUUAAAAAACUAGUUUUUUGAAAGGGAUGACUAAACACGUCUAAAACCAUAGAUAAAGGAGAAAUUAAACAAUUAUAAAAGAAUACUCUGCAACUCCAUGGCAUUUUAAAAUCUAGAAGAAAUUAAUCAUUUUCUAGAAAAAAUUAAAAUUAGAAAAUUCAAUAAUAAGAAGGUUUGAAUAAACCAGUUACCAUAACAGAUGUUGAAAAGUAAUUAGAAUCUGCCACUGGACAAAAAUACCAGAACCAGAUGGCUUCACAGCUAAGCUUUAUCUAACCCCUUAGGAAGAAAUUGUUCUAGUGUUAUCUAGAAUAGUCCAGUCCUUGAAAAAAGAUGAAGCCCCCUCCAAUUUAUUUUAUGAAGAUAGCAUAAAUUUAAAACCAAAUCCAGAAAAUCAUUACAAAAAGUAAAAUGUUGAGAUUUCCGGAGUUCCCGUCGUGGCGCAGUGGUUAACGAAUCCGACUAGGAACCAUGAGGUUGCGGGUUCGGUCCCUGCCCUUGCUCAGUGGGUUAAGGAUCCGGCAUUGCCGUGAGCUGUGGUGUAGGUUGCAGACGCGACUCGGAUCCCGCGUUGCUGUGGCUUUGACGUAGGCUGGCGGCUACAGCUCUGAUUAGACCCCUAGCCUGGGAACCUCCAUAUGCCGCGGGAGUGGCCCAAAGAAAUAGCAAAAAAAGACAAAAAAAAAAAAAAAUGUUGAGAGUUCCUAUCAUGGCUCAAGUAUGGAGGCUGGAUCCCUAGGGUCAGUGGGUCAGGGAUCUGAUGUUGCAGUGAGCUGUAGUGAAGGUUGCAUAUAUGGCUUGGAUCUGGCAUUGUUGUGGCUGUGGUAUAGGCCAGUGGCUCUAGCUCCGAUUGGCCCCCUGGCCUGGGAACUUCUGCAUGCCACAGGUGCGGCCCUAAAAAGACAAAAAAUAAAUAAACAAAAUUAAAUUUUGAAUUAAUCUCAUUUGUAUAUAGAAAUAUAUAAACUCUAAGCAAAAUCUUAACAAAUAAAAUCCAGCAACAUGUCAACAAAAUAAUACAUGUAUAAAAAAGCAGAGCUAAUUUGUAAAAACCUGAAAAUUUGUGUAGUUGUGAAUGAAUAUUGGGAAUACUGUUAAUAUAAUCUGUUACAUGAGCAGAUGAGAAGGAAAAAAGCAGAUGCUUUAAGGUCAUUUGAUGAAAUUUAUCAUUUAACCUUUAUAAAAAUGAAAAUAAGAUAGAAGGAAAUAACAAAUAUUUAACAAAAAAUAAUUAUCAAAAAAUAAAACUGAAUACUAUCCUAAAUGAUAAAACACUAUAAC